rnacentral:tRNA from 1 species
GUAGACAUAGUUUAACCAAAACAUUAGAUUGUGAAUCUAACUAUAGAAGCUCACCACUUCUUGCCUACC